ACUCUUUUAGUAUCACUAGUACAAUUGACUUCCAAUCAAUUAGCCUCGGUCUAAUCCGGGAAAGAGUA
rnacentral:tRNA from 1 species